AUUGAACGCUGGCGGCAGGCCUAACACAUGCAAGUCGAACGAGUGGCGGACGGGUGAGUAAUGUCUGGGAAACUGCCUGAUGGAGGGGGAUAAAUACUGGAAACGGUAGCUAAUACCGCAUACCAUCGGAUGUGCCCAGAUGGGAUGAGCUAGUAGGGGGGGUAAAGGCUUACCUAGGCGACGAUGCCUCUCUGGUCUGAGAGGAUGACCGGCCACACUGUAACUGAGACACGGUCCAGACUCCUACGGGAGGCAGCAGUGGGGAAUAUUGCACAAUGGGCGCAAGCCUGAUGCAGCCAUGCCGCGUGUAUGAAGAAGGCCUUCGGGUUGUAAAGUACUUUCAGCGGGGAGGCGUUACCCGCAGAAGAAGCACCGGCUAACUCCGUGCCAGCCGCCGCGGUAAUAC
rnacentral:rRNA from 1 species